CAAAAUCUAUUUCCCUCAUUUCUCAUUUCCCCCAAUAUCUCCACACCGGAUUUUUCAUUCCCACUUCAAUCUCCACACGCUGGAUUACAACUCAGACUCAUACGAUUCUCAGACUACGCCGUGUUUCAGUCUACGUCGUGUUUCAGUCUUAGACGAUUCUCCACACUCGUAAUAGCAUCUCAGAUCCACACUAUGCCGGAUUUCUGUAUUACGUCGCAACUCAGACUCCACGAAUACGCCAGAUCUCCACCUUCAUUGUCGUUCAGUCUCAGAGGUGGGUAAAUCGUAAUCUUCAGGUCUCCACUUCAUUGUCGUUCAGUUUCGACACGAUAAUUCCCCCAAAUUUUUGUUUAAACAAAGUUGUCUAAAAUUUGUUUCUUGCAGGUUAGUAUAACAAUGCUUCUUCAAGAAAUUGAUUUAUUUAUGUUCUUCUGAAUCAGUGAACGGAUUACAAAGGUGUUCCUAAGGUAACAAAGGAAUAUUCUUCUUAUAUUUUAUGAUAUCAAUAACUAGUUUAGAAGUUUCGUUUGGAAAGCACUUCUAUAAAAACUAAAUUAGUUUAGAAGUUUAGAUAAUUUAUGCAAUAAAACUAUAUGGGAAGCCAAGAUUCCAACCUCUUGCUAGGGCCCUCACAAUUUCAAGAUUGACAGAUGUCACCUGAAAACAGAGAAUAAACUGAAUACAUGCAAGUGGGAGAUUUGUAAGUGGGUACUGCAAUGGGCUUGGAUCUAGCUAGAUGCAAGUGGGAGAUUUGUACACCUAACAAACAUCAAUUGAGAUCUGUAGAGAAAUCUCUGGAACUCUGGAUUAUGUUCUUAGAGUAAUUAAGUGAAAUGAAUAAACUAAUUUCUCUUGGGUCUUGACCUAGGCUUGGUGAUCUUGGGUCUUGCCUGGUAGGACAGCCCAAUAAUAAAGGAUUUGGUUAGGAUUUUAUUUAUUGUCAUGAUUGAUUUUUUUUACGGUUUGAUUUGUUGUUUUUAUCAUGGAUUCUUAGAUCAACUUUGUUUUCAUGAUUUGAUGUUAAUAAAUAUUCCAAAUAAAUAUUUAUUUAGAUCUGUCUUAAAUAUGUCUGUUAAUGUUUAUUUAGAACUCUAAAGGUCAAACUGUCUUAAAUCUGUCAUAAAUCUAGUCAUUUUAAUACUGUCUUAAAUCUGAUUUUUCUAUAUUGUGCUCAGUCUCAGUGUAGUAUGAAUUUACUAUUAUAUGGCUUGUAAAGGACAAACUAAAUUACUAUUACUAUUUUUUUUGAAGCAUUAUUACUACUACUAUUACUAUUUACUCUUGCAGUAUUUAUCUGUGUUUACAAAAAAAUAUCCUGCUGCACACCACGGAGAUCUUAUUUUGCUGCACACUUUCAUAUGAGUUUGUUUUUUGUUUGUAUAUAUAUAUAUUUUAAGUGUUCUGCUGAUUUUUUACCUUUAGAAUUUGAAAUGAUUGGUUGAUUAUUUUUUUCUUUUUCAGAUUGAUUAAAAACAGAAUAUAAAAGGCAAAAAAGGUAUGUUGUCAUUUUUUUAAUUUUAAGAUUUUAUAUUUUAUCUGGCGAGUAAUGUUUUAUUCAAUUAUUUAAAAUCAAAUAUUUUAUGAUAGUAAUUUUAUAUUAUUGCAUGCUUCCUUACAUUGCUAUAAUUAGUUAGAGUUAGUUAUUUUUUGUAUAAGUUUUUCGAAUACUCAUUUUAAUACCUUUUUCAUUUAAAUAUUGAUUUUUAAGAGGUUUUUUUUUGUAUGUUAGGAGAUAGACUAAAAUGGCUGAUCAGAUAGUGGGGCUUCACAAAUCAUGGUUGUUUGAAAGUUCAACAUCAAUUAAAUUUCAAAGUGGAUCGAAUAGUUUUUUAGAUUUUGCUAAAAUCUAUUCAAACCACACGAUGGAGCCUGGAUUAAAACUACCAUGUCCUUAUUCUAAGUGUCACAAUGACAGAUAUUAUGAUCGUAAGACCAUUAGUGAGCAUGUCAUAAUACGCUUUAGUUUUGAUGAUGCAUAUAGGUAUAAAACAUGAUAUAUGCAUGGAGAAUUGAUUCUAGGUUCGAGAGCAUAUAUAAAAGCAUUGAAACGCAAGAGACGUGUGUACUCGUCAAUCAAUCACAUUCUAAAGUAUUUAAAAUUAUUUGAACUAGGUGUGUACUGAUAUGACAUGGCAUGAAGAUCAUCGUUUGAGAGAUGGCGUAAUUCG
rnacentral:lncRNA from 1 species